UUUAACUGAAGAGUUUGAUCAUGGCUCAGAUUGAACGCUGGCGGCAGGCUUAACACAUGCAAGUCGAGCGGGGGAAGGUAGCUUGCUACUGGACCUAGCGGCGGACGGGUGAGUAAUGCUUAGGAAUCUGCCUAUUAGUGGGGGACAACAUCUCGAAAGGGAUGCUAAUACCGCAUACGUCCUACGGGAGAAAGCAGGGGAUCUUCGGACCUUGCGCUAAUAGAUGAGCCUAAGUCGGAUUAGCUAGUUGGUGGGGUAAAGGCCUACCAAGGCGACGAUCUGUAGCGGGUCUGAGAGGAUGAUCCGCCACACUGGGACUGAGACACGGCCCAGACUCCUACGGGAGGCAGCAGUGGGGAAUAUUGGACAAUGGGGGGAACCCUGAUCCAGCCAUGCCGCGUGUGUGAAGAAGGCCUUAUGGUUGUAAAGCACU
rnacentral:rRNA from 1 species